rnacentral:lncRNA from 1 species
AGGUUUUGGACAGUGAUUUUAACCCUAACGCCAAAAAACUUAAACCUUACCCUAGCCCCAAAACCUAAUACCCGGGUGUUACCUUCAGGAAGCCCGAACACCCCAAAUAUUUCUUUUUCAUUUUACAAUUUUUUUUUUGGUUUAACUUACUCCAAAAGGUUGGAAAGGAGUUCCUACAAAGGUUUUGGACAGUGAUUUUAACCCUAACGCCAAAAAACUUAAACCUUACCCUAGCCCCAAAACCUAAUACCCGGGUGUUACCUUCAGAAAGCCCGAAAACCCCAAAUAUAUUUUUUUUCAUUUUUCAUUUUUUUUCUGGUCUAACUAACUCCAAAAGGUUGGAAAAGAGUUCCUACAAAGGUUUUGGACAGUGAUUUUAACCCUAACGCCAAAAACCUUACCCUAGCCCCAUAACCUAAUACCCGGGUAUUACCUUCAGGAAGACCGAACAUCCCAAAUAUUUUUUUUUCAUUUUUUGUUUUAUUUUGGUCUAACUAACUGUUCUGUCUUGGCUAAAUGUGGUACACUUGAACGUCUACUUAGCUGUACAGAGAGCUAAACACUCUCCUGAUCAAACUUAAAAGAACAGGCCGUUGGGUUGACUUUCGUUGUUUAAUCAAGAAAAGUGUAAAACUGUUGGAAACAGAAAAUACAAUAAUAUAUAACAAACAUUUGCAAAACAUAAUUGCAUACAUCUAAAAACAUUAUAGAAAACAUAAAAAACUUACAGACGAUGCCUUUUGCAAACUUUGAAGGCGUGAAUGGCGAGAUGGCUGCUGCCGUGUGCUCCUCUGAAGGUGUGGCUUACAAAAUGGCCGCCACCAUGUGCUCUAACCAAAAUACUGAGCCAAGAGGAAGUGACCCACAUGGGACUUCCUGUCUCUAAUACUGACAAAAUAAAAUACAUAAUACGACCACUAGGGCGCAAUAUAUAUAAAAAAUAAUAAGCCAUCACACUCCCCACCUGGCAUCUCAAGGAUGUCACACUCAAGAAGACUUGACUGAGUCCUUUUGUAUCAGGAGUAUGACUUCAGACACUGGCCGUAAGAACAGUUUUGCCACACUGUCUCUGAUGAUCUUCACCUCAACCUUCCUGACCUUUCCGUCAUUACUUGGAAAGGUCCUUGUGAUUAGUCCUGUGGGCCAGUCGUGCCUCUUCACUGAGUUAUCCUUUAACAGGACAACAUCUCCGUCCAUCAGAUUAGGCCUCUCCAUUCUCCAUUUUGGCCUGCCUUGGAGACCGCUGAGGUACUCCCUCCUCCAUCUCUCCCAGAAUGUGUUGGCUAAACUUUGAACCUGUCGCCACUGACGUUUGAAUAGGUCACCAGUGUCAAAGUCGCCAGGAGGGACUGGGGGCAUCCCAGUCUUCUGCGUCAGCAGCAUAGUAGGGGUUAGGAUGUGAGGCUCGUCAGGAUCUGUAGACACAGAAGUAAGUGGUCUGGAGUUGACUAUAGCAGUGACUUCUGCCAUAAACGUAGUCAAGACUUCAUGUGUGAGCUUCGCAGACCCGGACUUGAGGAACAUAGCAUCGAGGAUCCGACGUGCGACCCCGAUCAUCCGCUCCCAGCUGCCCCCCAUAUGCGAAGAGUGAGGGGGAUUGAACAGCCACACACAACCCUGGUCAGAGAGAUACUGGGAAAUCGUCUUGUUAUCACACCCCUUGGAGUCAAUCUCAAGUUCUCGGCAGGCUCCUAUGAAAUUAGUUCCGCAAUCGGACCGAAGUUGUUUCACAGGUCCCCUAAUUGCGAAGAAGCGCCGAAGGGCGUUAAUAAAACUGGAUGAAUCCAUCGAUUCGAUGACCUCAAUAUGUAUGGCACGCGUGCUCAUACACGUGAAGAUGAUGGCCCAACGCUUGCUGUUCGCUAGUCCCCCACGUGUCCUCCUCGAGGUGACACACCAUGGCCCGAACACAUCCAGCCCUACAAAGGUGAACGGGGGGUCUGUGCUCAAGCGGUCAGCGGGAAGAUCCGCCAUCAUCUGCUCUUGCUGCUUGCCGCGCAGUCUCCGACAUGUCACACAGUUGUAAAUCAAGCUGCUGACAGACCGCUUCCCUCCGACAACCCAAAAACCAGCACUCCUUAAUGCUCCUUCUGUUAAGUGCCGUCCUUGGUGGCAGACGUGCUCGUGGUAAUGUCUGAUGAGCAGCGUGGCAACAUGGUGUUUGCCAGGGAUGAUGAUUGGCUGACUUUCAUCCGGUGUGAGCUGCGCCUUCUUCAAUCGCCCUCCGACACGCAGAAGACCUUCAGAAUCAAUGAAAGGGCAAAGGUCACUGAGGGCACACUGUUUCGGCACUGGUUCUCCCUUCUGGAUCCAGUUGAUUUCCUCAGAAUAGGCCUGUCUUUGGACAGCAAGAAUGAUUCUGACCUUUGCCUGAUUUAGCUGCUCUGGACUGAGGGGCAGCUUGCAGCUGUGCCAUCCAUGGCAGGGGCCGUCUUUUGCCGCUUUUGUGAAGGAAUAGGCAAUGUGAGAGAGUCGGGCAACGGCUCUGGAGAGCGACUUCCAACUCGAAAACCGCUUGAAGCGUUCACUGUCAAGCUGAUGUGACAAACGUGUGGCACACGUCACUGCUUCUGGACGUAUUUCCACAUCUGAUCCAGGGUCAACCAGGUUGAAGGCUUCCUGUUGCAAGUGGCCCUGCCGCUUGUCCACAAGGAAAACUGGUCCAGUUAACCAAGAUGAAGCCGCAAGCUGAUUGGCAGGUAUGGCUCUGGUUGCAUGGUCGGCGGGGUUGACAUCAGAGGGAACAUAGUUCCAUUGGUCUUUGUUGGUUGAACGUCUGAUUCGUUGCACUCGGUUAUGAACAUAGACAUAAAACCGUCUUGAGUCGUUGAAUAUAUAGCCAAGUACCACCUUGCUAUCUGUGAAAAACCUGAUGUCGUCAACCUCCAUGUCCAGCUCUGCAGUUAUAGCCUCUGCUACUUCUACUGCUAGAACGGCUGCGCAGAGCUCAAGCCUUGGGAUGGUGAUGUCAGGCUUAGGAGUCAACUUUGUUUUGCCAAACAGGAAUCCAACUUCGCUAUGUCCCAUAGCAUCUGUGGCCUUCAGGUAGGCGACGACAGCAAUAGCUUUAAUUGACGCAUCGCAAAAGAUGCAGAUCUCUUUCCUCUGAGCUGUGGAGAGUGGGAUUGAAGUGUAGAUUCUUGGGAUCUUCAACACUUUUAAAUCUUCAAGAGAGGCACACCACCUCUGCCACUUCUCGAGCUUCUCCUGAGGGAGUGGCGCAUCCCAUUCACAAGUGUCGACAGUUAGUUCUCUCAAGAUGGCACGACCCUGAACACUGACGGGAGCAGCAAACCCCAAUGGAUCAAACAAGCUGUUGAUGAUAGACAACACACCUCGACGUGUAAAGGGUUUUUCAGCAACAGCAACUCGGAAAGUCAGCGAGUCUGUGGCAAGAUCCCAUCCGAGACCCAGACUGCGCUGUAUUGGGGGAGAGUCCUGACCCAUGUCCAGGUCUUGUAGGCUGCUUGCCAGGUCCUCAGUCGGAAAAGCUCUGAUAACCUCAACACUAUUAGAGGCGAUCUUGUGUAGUUUGAGGUUGGAUUGAGCCAACAUGUCCUGUGCACCUUUUAGUACCUUGAUGGCAUCUUCUGCACUGGGGAAAGAUUUCAGGCCAUCGUCGACGUAGAAGUGUCGGUGCAUGAAGGUCGUCACUUCUGGUCCAUAGUCCCCUUCGCCUUCCAUGGCUGUCCUCUUCAGACCAUAAAUGGCCACAGCCGGUGAGGGACAAUUACCGAACACAUGAACCCUCAUGCGAUACUCCAACACUUCAUCAUCAAGUUGGUGGUUGCGAAACCACAAGAAUCGGAGGUGGUCCCGAUGAUCCUCUCUCACUAGGAAGCUGUGAAACAUCUGUUGGAUGUCCGUCAUCACAGCUACCGGAUCCAUCCUGAAACGCAUGAGGACUCCCAGUAAGGUGUUGUUGAGGUCUGGGCCCUGCAAGAGUACAUCGUUCAAUGAUAUGCCCUUGAACUGCGCGCUUGAAUCGAAGACGAUCCUUAUUUUCCCCGGUUUCUGGGGGCGGUAGACACCGAAGGUAGGUAAGUACCAGUACUCUUUGUCAGGCUCUGGUGGAGGAGCUGGCUCAGCAUGUUCAUUCCUAAAGAUCUCUUCCAUGAAGUCCACAAAAUGACGCUUCAUCUCCGGUUUCCUGUUUAAGGUGCGGCGGAGUGACAUCAGCCGGCUGAGGGCUUGCUCCCGGUUAUUUGGCAAACACGGCCUUGGACAGCGAAAUGGGAGGGGAGCCACCCAGCUGUUGGAAUCAUCCUUCUUGAAUCCCUCGUUCAUGAUCUGAAGGAAGAUUUCAUCCUCGAUGGAGGGCGCAAGCUUUUCAUCAUCUUUCGAGUGGCUGAAGAUCUGCUGGCCCAAACCUGGCUGGGUGGAGGUCAAAGUGGUAGGAGAUGUGGGCUGCCCCCCACCAACUUUGUCCUUGAACACGAUUCUGUUCUCACAAGGCUUGAAGUAACUGGGACGCCCAUUCUCAAGGACAUGGGUCUUGAAUGUAUUGACAGUUGGUCGGUGGGCCCCAUCAAGGCAGACGUCGCCAACUAUGACCCAACCCAGAUCCAGCAGCUGGGCAUAGGGCUCAUCAUGAUGACCAUUGCGCUGGCUACGCACCUUAUGUACUCGGAUGAUGUCUCUGCCAAGUAGUAAAAGUAUCUGAGCCGAAUGGUCGAGAGGGGGGAUCUUGUCAGCUAUCGGUUUGAGAUGCUUGUGGCUAUGUGCAGCCUCCGGAGUAGGGAUUUCGUCCCUGUUGUCGGGAAUAAGGUUGCACUCGAUAAGGGUUGGUAAUGAAAGAUGAAGCUCCCCAUCAGCUGACUCCACCACGAAUCCAGUAGCCCUCCUUCCAGCGGUGUCUGUGACUCCUGAGCACGUUUUGAGGGUGUAGGGGGAGGCCUCACUCUGGAUACCAAACAUGUCAAAGAACACUGAUCUGGCUAGUGACACAUUGCUUUGGUCGUCUAGCAUCACAUAUGUCCUGAUCUUUUGAUCAGGGUGUCCCUUCGGAUAGACAUUAACCAGACAGAUUUUCGAACAAGAUUUACCUUGUAGACCCUCGCCACAAACCUCUGUGCAUGAAGUGGUAGCUACGUCCGUGACACAUGCAGUAGGCUCCCCACCAUGCUCUGCAGUAGGUUCCCCACCAGGCUCUGCAGUAGGUCCGUCGGAACUCGUUGCCCAAGGUGCAGGUCCUGGAUGGAGUGCUGAGAUGUGUCGUUCACUGUCACAUUCUGAGCAACGGGUUUCAGCUUUGCAAACCUUAGCCUGGUGCUUUGUUGAAGCACAACAUUUGAAACAUAUGGAGUUCUCUAACAAGAAGCGUCUCCGCUCUAUGAGUGAUUUCUCCCGAAAACCUCGACAUUUCUUGAGGGAAUGAGGUUUCUUAUGGAGAGGACAUUGUCUGUCUGGAUCCAUGACAGGUUCUUCGGAUGUGUGAAAAGUGGAGGGUUUUCCUACUUCAGUUUUAGUGACUGAUAUCGGAGGUCUGGUUUUCCAGUGUUUGUCCGAACACCCAUCACCUUUGGACGCAGCUGAGCUGGAAAAAGCAAAGCUAGGAUCAUUCCUCAUCUCAGCAUAGUUGUAGACGAAAUCUACGAAGAAUGAGAAAGGGGGGUAUGGAACCAGAUGGUCUCUCUUAUAGCGAGAUCCCACACUCAUCCACUGUUCUUGGAUGUUGAGAGGCAGUUUCUCUACGACAGGGUUUAUUCCCCUUGCUGUAUCAAGAAACCCAAGUCCUGGCAAGUAACCCUCUUGUUUUGCAGCUUCAAUCUCUAGGAGCAGGUCUCCAAGCUCCUGAAACUUCCGGUGAUCUUUGUUUGAAAGCUUUGGGAACAGAUCUAAUCUUUUGAAGAGAGAAGCUUCAAUAACCUCUGGAGAGCCAUAGGUCUUGUCCAGCCUCCGCCAAACCAUGUCCAAACCCAUGGCUGGAUUGUUAACGUGAACUGCUCUUAUCCUCUUGGCAUGGUGUAGUGACUCCCCACCAAGCCACUUGAUGAGCAAGUCCAGUUCUUCACUUGGUUUGAGGUUUAGUCCUUCCAUAGCAUUGUUAAAGCUAGAUUUCCAAGACAGAUAACUAGCAGGCUGGUUAUCGAACACUUUAAGUCCAGCUGUGACGAGAUCUCGGCGAGCCAGAUAUACAGCUAAUGCAGAUACACCUUCAGCCUCUGGUUGUGAACGGUGUGGACGGUAGCUAGCAUAAUCUGUGUGACGCUGCUUAUGGUGGCUUGUAGUAUUUUCUGCUGUGUGAUAGGCUGGAGCACCAGAGAUAUUUUUUCUCUGAUUGGUUACCCUCGGAGCCUGAGCAGGAGGCGCUCGAGCGGGAAGAGCCUGAGCAGGAGGAGCUCGAGCAGGAGGCGCUCGAGCGGGAGAAGUCUGAGCAGGAAGACCUCGAGCAGGAGGAGCCAGAGGUUCUGGCUGCCGCAUGUCGCGAUAUUCAAUGUCUGAAGGGUGACUGGGUUGUAGCACAGGAAAAUCCUCAUUCUCUUUAGCAAUUGGAGCUGAAGCAUAGCUCGCACGACUCGAGAGGUUUAAAUGUGCUUGGACGUACUCACCAGUGCACUGUAGUGAGUCCUUCAAUGACUGAGCACGACUGGCUCUAUCUUCUAGAUCACAGUUCGUGGAAUCCAAGGCUGCUUCAUACACGUCAGCCUCUGCUGAGGCAGCCUCGGCUUCGCACUCUUCCUUAAGUGCAUUCAAUGAAGCUUCUAUGCGUGCCUUCUCCACUUGCAUAUUUAUUUGACGUUUUGCAUAGACUGCUCGUGUGCGUGCCGCUUCUGCCUUGGCACGAGCUCGAGCAGCAAUAACACUGGCUGAAGACUUAUUCGAGCGGCUUGAAGACGAUGAAGCCGAUGCACCACAUUCUGACCUAACCUCCAGAUCCUUAGCGUCAAUAGCAUCGGGGCUAGGGCUUGACAUUGUUGUGUAGGAGAGGCAGCUAUAUGAACAAUCUAUGUGAAGCAACUCUUGCUGUUGUAGACGUUAGCUGAGCAAUGUGCCAUUGAUAUUUCUUCACAGCUUGUUGAUGGUUCGUCUUUUUACUGUUCUGUCUUGGCUAAAUGUGGUUCACUUGAACGUCUACUUAGCUGUACAGAGAGCUAAACACUCUCCUGAUCAAACUUAAAAGAACAGGCCGUUGGGUUGACUUUCGUUGUUUAAUCAAGAAAAGUGUAAAACUGUUGGAAACAGAAAAUACAAUAAUAUAUAACAAACAUUUGCAAAACAUAAUUGCAUACAUCUAAAAACAUUAUAGAAAACAUAAAAAACUUACAGACGAUGCCUUUUGCAAACUUUGAAGGCGUGAAUGGCGAGAUGGCUGCUGCCGUGUGCUCCUCUGAAGGUGUGGCUUACAAAAUGGCCGCCACCAUGUGCUCAAACCAAAAUACUGAGCCAAGAGGAAGUGACCCACAUGGGACUUCCUGUCUCUAAUACUGACAAAAUAAAAUACAUAAUACGACCACUAGGGCGCAAUAUAUAUAAAAAAUAAUAAGCCAUCACACUAACUCCAAAAGGUUGGAAAAGAGUUCCUACAAAGGUUUUGGACAGGGAUUUUAACCCUAACGCCAAAAACCUUAAACCUUACCCUAGCCCCGUAACCUAAUACCCGGGUAUUACCAUCAGAGAGCCCGAAAACCCCAAAUAUUUUUUUUUUCAUUUUUCAUUUUUUUCUGGUCUAACUAACUCCAAAAGGUUGGAAAAGAGUUCCUACAAAGGUUUUGGACAGUGAUUUUAACCCUAACGCCAAAAACCUUAAACCUUACCCUAGCCCCAUAACCUAAUACCCGGGUAUUACCUUCAGGAAGACCGAACACCCCAAACAUUUUUUUUUCAUUUUUCGUUUUUUUUAGGUCUAACUAACUCCAAAAGGUUGGAAAGGAGUUCCUACAAAGGUUUUGGACAGUGAUUUUAACCCUAACGCCAAAAACCCUAAACCUUUUACUAGCCCCAUAACCUAAUACCCGGGUAUUACCUUCAGGAAGACCGAACACCCCAAAUAUUUUUUUUUUCAUUUUUUGUUUUAUUUUGGUCUAACUAACUCCAAAAGGUUGGAAAAGAGUUCCUACAAAGGUUUUGGACAGUGAUUUUAACCCUAACGCUAAAAACCUUAAACCUUACCCUAGCCCCAUAACCUAAUACCUGGGUAUUACCUUCAGGAAGCCCGAACACCCCAAAUAUGUUUUUUUGUUUUUGAUUUCUUUUCGAUCUAACUAACUCCAAAAGGUUGGAAAAGAGUUCCUACAAAGGUUUUGGACAGUGAUUUUAACCCUAACUCCAAAAACAUUUAAACCUUACCCUAGCCCCAUUACCUAAUUCCCGGGUAUUACCAUCAGAGAGCCCGAAAACCCCAAAUAUUUUUUUUUUCAUUUUUCGUUUUUUUCUGGUCUAACUAACUCCAAAAGGUUGGAAAAGAGUUCCUACAAAGGUUUUGGACAGUGAUUUUAACCCUACCGCCAAAAACCCUAAACCUUUCACUAGCCCCAUAACCUAAUACCCAGGUAUUACCUUCAGGAAGCCCGAACACCCCAAAUAUUUCUUUUUCAUUUUACAAUUUUUUUUUUUUUGGUGUAACUAACUCCAAAAGGUUGGAAAAGAGUUCCUACAAAGGUUUUGGACAGUGAUUUUAACCCUAACUCCAAAAACAUUUAAACCUAACCCUAGCCCCAUUACCUAAUACCCGGGUAUUACCAUCAGAGAGCCCGAAAACCCCAAAUAUUUUUUUUUUCAUUUUUCAUUUUUUUCAGGUCUAACUAACUCCAAAAGGUUGGAAAAGAGUUCCUACAAAGGUUUUGGACAGUGAUUUUAACCCUAACGCCAAAAACCUUAAACCUUACCCUAGCCCCAUAACCUAAUACCCGGGUAUUACCUUCAGGAAGACCGAACACCCCAAACAUUUUUUUUUCAUUUUUCGUUUUUUUUAGGUCUAACUAACUCCAAAAGGUUGGAAAGGAAUUCCUACAAAGGUUUUGGACAGUGAUUUUAACCCUAACGCCAAAAACCCUAAACCUUUUACUAGCCCCAUAACCUAAUACCCGGGUAUUACCUUCAGGAAGACCGAACACCCCAAAUAUUUUUUUUUUCAUUUUUUGUUUUAUUUUGGUCUAACUAACUCCAAAAGGUUGGAAAAGAGUUCCUACAAAGGUUUUGGACAGUGGUUUUAACCCUAACGCUAAAAACCUUAAACCUUACCCUAGCCCCAUAACCUAAUACCUGGGUAUUACCUUCAGGAAGCCCGAACACCCCAAAUAUGUUUUUUUGUUUUUGAUUUCUUUUCGAUCUAACUAACUCCAAAAGGUUGGAAAAGAGUUCCUACAAAGGUUUUGGACAGUGAUUUUAACCCUAACUCCAAAAACAUUUAAACCUUACCCUAGCCCCAUUACCUAAUUCCCGGGUAUUACCAUCAGAGAGCCCGAAAACCCCAAAUAUUUUUUUUUUCAUUUUUCAUUUUUUUCUGGUCUAACUAACUCCAAAAGGUUGGAAAAGAGUUCCUACAAAGGUUUUGGACAGUGAUUUUAACCCUACCGCCAAAAACCCUAAACCUUUCACUAGCCCCAUAACCUAAUACCCAGGUAUUACCUUCAGGAAGCCCGAACACCCCAAAUAUUUCUUUUUCAUUUUACAAUUUUUUUUUUUUUGGUGUAACUAACUCCAAAAGGUUGGAAAAGAGUUCCUACAAAGGUUUUGGACAGUGAUUUUAACCCUAACGCCAAAAACCUUACCCUAGCCCCAUAACCUAAUACCCGGGUAUUACCUUCAGGAAGACCGAACACCCCAAAUAUUUCUUUUUCAUUUUACUUUUUUUUUUUCUGGUCUAACUAACUCCAAAAGGUUGGAAAAGAGUUCCUACAGAGGUUUUGGACAGUGAUUUUAACCCUAACGCCAAAAACCCUAAACCUUUCACUAGCCCCAUAACC